CAUCUGUGUUCUGAUUAGUGGCCAAAUAAAUGACAUUCAGAAGUUCAGCUAAGGUACAGUAAGGGCUCCAAAUCCUUUGGCUGCAACUCACCUAUUUCUUUCAGUGAAGAUCUUUCAGGAUUUCAGUGCUAGACUCAGAUAUUUUUGUUUUUGUUUCUUCCAAAUUCUUUCUGUUACUG
rnacentral:lncRNA from 1 species